rnacentral:rRNA from 1 species
AGUGAACGCUGGCGGUAGGCCUAACACAUGCAAGUCGAACGGCAGCACAGUAAGAGCUUGCUCUUACGGGUGGCGAGUGGCGGACGGGUGAGGAAUACAUCGGAAUCUACUUUUUCGUGGGGGAUAACGUAGGGAAACUUACGCUAAUACCGCAUACGACCUACGGGUGAAAGCAGGGGAUCUUCGGACCUUGCGCGAUUGAAUGAGCCGAUGUCGGAUUAGCUAGUUGGCGGGGUAAAGGCCCACCAAGGCGACGAUACGUAGCUGGUCUGAGAGGAUGAUCAGCCACACUGGAACUGAGACACGGUCCAGACUCCUACGGGAGGCAGCAGUGGGGAAUAUUGGGCAAUGGGCGCAAGCCUGAUCCAGCCAUACCGCGUGGGUGAAGAAGGCCUUCGGGUCGUAAGCCCUUUUGUUGGGAAAGAAAAGCAGCAGGUUAAUACCCCGCUGUUCUGACGGUACCCAAAGAAUAAGCACCGGCUAACUUCGUG